AGAAGUUGCCCCUCGUCGGUGGAGAAGAGAAAGAAAGAAGAGAGAGGCGCGGGAUGGGGAAGGACGGCGAGCCCGACCCCGCUCUUAAGGUCCAGACCGCGAUCCAAUGCGUGAGGGUCGCUUCCAUGCUCGCGGAGCUCCGUUCGUUUCCCCGCCGGAUCACCGCGCCGGCGGCGCAGGCAGUGGCGGACCGUCCGGUGAUUCUCCCUUUUUUCCUCCUUUUUGAGAGUGAGGAUUUGCGGAGCUACGCUGCGGAUCUUAGGGCGAAGCUGGUUGCGGAGCGUGCGAGGAGGAGGAGAUUGGAGCGCCUCGUUGGACAGGAGGUAAUGCUUCAUGUUGUUCUUUUGGCGAUGAUGUUGUGCUUCUCCUUGUUUCUUCUUUUGAUCUGAUGGAGCUGAUUUAGAGAUUUCAGUUAGGGUUAAAUUUUGGGUUGUGAUUAGGUUCUUGAACUUGAUCGGAACUGCAUAGUGUGAGAAAAAUGGGAAAUUGAUGACAAAGGUACAAGGCGAUGCUGAUUUGAUUGGAAGGUUUGCAAAGAAUUGUGUGAGAUGAUUGGGAUGUAUGUUCAAAUCUUGUUUUUUAAUAAAAGAUUGAAAGAUACAGACGAAUAUUGGUUACAUUUGUAAAGGUUUUAAAGAUCGGAAGCAUGCUUUGUUUAUCAAAUCAGUAUAAUUUUCUUUUCAA